rnacentral:rRNA from 1 species
CCUACGGGAGGCAGCAGUGGGGAAUAUUGCACAAUGGGGGAAACCCUGAUGCAGCGACGCCGCGUGAGUGAAGAAGUAUCUCGGUAUGUAAAGCUCUAUCAGCAGGGAAGAAAAUGACGGUACCUGUAUAAGAAGCACCGGCUAACUACGUGCCAGCAGCCGCGGUAAUACGGAGGGGGCAAGCGUUAUCCGGAUUUACUGGGGGUAAAGGGAGCGGAGGCGGCGGUGCAAGUCCGGAGUGAAAGCCCAUGGCUUAACCAUGGUACUGAUGUGGAAACUGUUGAGCUUGAGUGCGGGAGGGGCAGGCGGAAUGCCUAGUGUAGCGGUGAAAUGCGUAGAUAUUAGGAGGAACACCGGCGGCGAAGGCGGCCUUCUGGACCGUAACUGACGUGGAGGCUCGAAAGCGUGGGGAGCAAACAGGAUUAGAUACCCCGGUAGUC